CAGAAGCUCUAGCUCUGUGGGUUCCUGAAGAUCUAGCUCUACCUUUUUGCAGUAUUCCUCCUGACUGUGGCCUUUUCUGAGUCUUACAUAUUUACCUCUUCUGUGUGUGUGGAAAAAUGUUAAAAAGGCUGUUGAAGAAUUGAACUCAAGUCUUUUCUUCAUGUGAGAAUAAAAUGGGGAAGUUCUAGAACCUUGAGAAUAACUCGGUGCAGUAGUCUUGUUUGCUGCAGGAACUAAGACUAAUCUCAAGAAUUCACUUAAA
rnacentral:lncRNA from 1 species